UACGAAGGGGGCUAGCGUUGCUCGGAAUGACUGGGCGUAAAGGGCGCGUAGGCGGCUUGCACAGAUCAGGCGGUGAAAUUCCUGGGCUCAACCUGGGGACUGCGCUUGAGACGUGUGGGCUUGAGUGGGGAAAGAGGGUCGUGGAAUUCCCAGUGUAGAGGUGAAAUUCGUAGAUAUUGGGAAGAACACCGGUGGCGAAGG
rnacentral:rRNA from 1 species